UGUUAAAAAUUUCAUCCAUUUCUAUUGUUAAAAACUGACGUGACUAAUAGAAUAACCAGAUAAUUACACAUAACAUGCCAUGUGUACAUCAUACCAGAAUAUAAGGACAAGUUUUGAACCGUAGAAAUUAAUAAAAUUUUUAACA
rfam:Gossypium raimondii Chr04_contig_405, whole genome shotgun sequence.